GGGUAUUUUUUCUACAGAGUAUCUUGUGAUUAAGUAGAUUAUCAUGUAGAUUUAUUGACGCGUGCUUGAUAAUUUCUGAUCAUGAUAUUUGCUGGAUACAAUAAAGCUAUCAGAAUUUUUGAGGUUCAUCGCCCAGGGAGAGAUUUUGAACAACACUCGACUGUUUUAGGAAACAAAGAAGGCCAAUCAGACUAUAUCGAUCAUCUGAAAGCACCAAUCAGAGAAUACAAUUUGCUAUUGAACCUCUUGGUCGAUAUCUUGGAACUGGUGGUCAGGGGCAGCUGCUGUUAACUUGGUUGCUGGAGAAAAGCCCGCAGAUGUUUAUUCAGGAAUUGCUACGAGGGAUGUUACUUUCAAAAAGGGAGGAAGAUCAAGAUGAAGAUGAGCGCGAAGGAAGCCUUUGAGAGGUCGAUGAGGACUUUGUCGGAGUGGAUAAGCCAGGAAGUGAAUCGAAAUAUGUAAUGAUCUUAGAUACUUGAUACUUGGUUCAUUCGGAUGAUAAUGUACGAAUAUUUUGGAUAAUAUAUAAUAUUGUUAUUGUUGAUUUUA